ACUUGUGCUCUUCCCAUGUGCCAGAUACUGCGUUAAGAGCUAGGCAUAUAGUGAUAGAAAACAGAGUAUCCUCAUGAAUCUUGCAAGCAAGUAGGAGAAGCAGACAUUUAACCAGGACACACGUAAAUAAAUGAAAACCCAUGAUCAAAACUCUGAGGAAAAAGAAAAAAAAAGUAGGCAGUGGGUGAGGGAGUCAUGCUGGAACAGGCCAGGGGGGACCUCUUAUAGAAACUCAAGGCAUGACCUUUGAGUAGGUGUGAGAGUCCUGCUUUCAGGAGAUUGUUUCGUGGCUUUCAUUAGCAGUAGUCACAGGGAGCCUCGAAGGUCAAAUCUGGAUCUCUGUAAGAAGGUCCACAACAUUGGGAAGUUUAAUAAGAUGCAGAGGUUCUAGAAAGAGAAUGGCAGUUUAUAUCAGGCAAGCAGUGUUGCUUAGGGCAACAGGGUUCUGUUGCAUGGAGUGUGUGUGUGUGUGCAAAUAGCACGUGUGACCAGGAUAUUGAGGCAGAGGCUAUGGGACGAGGGGAAGGAGUGGCGGUGGCUGUAAUCCACACGGUGGAAGAAUAAGCAAAUACUGAUGCGGGAUUUACUGCAAUGCUAGGAAAUUCCGGGAGAUAGCCACGGCAGUAGAGGUGGUUUAUACUUUUUGGUCUCCGUGUUUCAAAUCAUAAGGCUGUGUCAAGUCAGACUGUUAGAGGAAAACACAAAAAUAGAAAAAAAAAAAAAGAGUCUUCAUGUCGUAUCAACAAGAUCAAAGUUGGUUUAAAUUUGCUUUGAAUGAUGGCGGUUUUUAAAAAUUCGCUUGCGCUAAUCUAGCAACACCCGGUUGCUUAUAGUGUUUUUGCACUGUUAAUCCCUUGUACCUGUUAAUAGCAUGUAAUGAGUAGCAUACAGCUCAUCUUUAGUCUGUGGAAUAUGGGUUCUGCAAAGAUGACUGCUCACAAUUAAUUGCUUCAGCUUCUUCCAUCGUCUCAAGUGAUACGGGUUUCUAUAGGAGGAAAACCAAACAAACCCAAACCUCCGCAGACUCUUUUGAAAACCAUUUUAAAGCAACUAGUUUACGUCCACACCAUAGAAUUGCCAUUUCUUUGCCAUGAUGUCCGGGUGUCAGGACCUGCAAAUGGUAGCCGACUUGAUGUCGAAUUCUCCGCCUUCUCCCCUAAGCUCUCAGAUGCCUGAAUCCAGCCAGGCGUGAGGAUCCUUCCAUUAUUGACUCAGAAGCUUGGUCCCUUUGUCGGCUUCCGUGGUCAGUCAGGCCGUUUUUCUCCCUGGCUCUGCUCAGGGUGUAGAAGGAAGCCCUGCAUCAUAGCCCCUGCAUUUCUGAGAUGCAUCUGUUAAAACUGCAGUUCCCCCGAGAAGGCUGCCGCACGUAACACUCCAGGAUCCGCAUGGGGUUAGCGCUGUGGCUCAGUUCCUACAGGUCCUGGGGACGCCGUAAUUAUCAUGACUUCAUCCCACACAUUUGAACGUUAUUGUGAUAAGUCUGUGAUGGCAGAGAGCUUCAGAAGCUUAAACAAAUCUACUUCAGGGCUCUAGCCUAUACUUACAAAUAUUACCUAAAAGGUUACUCAUAGCUAGCUUUUUUUUUCUUCUUUAAAUUUUGACCCAAUUUCUUUUCAGAAUAGACUGGCAAUUUACCUGUCUGUUCUCCAUGGGCCAACUUUUAGGGAUGUGAUGUUGUGUGAAGGGAGUUUUUUUCAUGAUGUUGAAAAAAAGAUAUUUUAAGACAGUAAAGCAUAUUAAUUUGUAGAUUCCUUUUUUUAAUGUUUAU